rnacentral:lncRNA from 1 species
AUUUUAUACUAGAUAGCUCAAAUAAGGUAUGUUCUUCUAAUUACAUUUUCAUUAUACCUCUGGAUUUUUUUAGAAGUACUGAAAUGUCAUGUGCAGCCACAUUGAGAUAAUAUGUUCCACUGAUUCCCCCACCCCAAUUCCAACAUAAACCUAUCAGGCUUUCAAUAGGAAGUGUGGGCCUUCUUCUGGCCAAUGAGAUAGUCAGGUUAAUUAGGAUUGUUGUUGUUGUGUGCCUUUAAGUCAUUUCAGACUCUGGGCGAGCCUAAGUCUAAAAUUAUUUAUUUAUUCAUUUACUACGUUUAUUUACUACAUUUAUAUCCCACCCUUCUCACCCCGAAGGGGACUCAGAGCAGCUGUAUGUACAUACAAUAUAUUAUAUUAUUAGCAUAACAUAAUAUUAGCAUUAUAUAUUACUAUAUUGAACUAUACCACUAUACUGUAAUAUUAUAUGUAACUAGCUGUGCCCGGCCACGCGUUGCUGUGGCGAAGUAUGGUGGUAUGGGAAAUAAAGUAUUGAGGAAUUGGUGGUAGUUAAGGUCAAAGGUAAAGGUGCCGGUCUGUUUCUGUUGGAUAAGUGAGACUCUACUGUAUAUUUAUAAUCUUAUAUUAUCUGCUUAGAACUGGAUUAUAUGAGGCCCCUUCUUCACAGCUGGAUAAAAUGCACACUGAAGUGGAUUAUACGGCAGUGUGGAGUCAAGAUAAUCCAGUUCAAAGCAUAUAAAAUAAGAUUCUAAAUGGGUUAUAUAGCUGACUCUACACUGCCAUAUAAUCCAGUGCAAAUGAGAUAAUCUGUGGAAGAGGCCUAAGUGAAGCCUAACUCUGCCUGUCCCCUGGGCUGAGUCGGUUGCUAGGAGACCAAGUGGGCGGAGCUUAGCCUUCUAACUGGCAGCAAUUGGAUAAAAACAAUUAUUCCUCUCCCUCUAAUUAGGACUUUAUUUUUCUUUUCUUUUUGUUGUAUCAACCUAGAGCCGUGGAUGAGGGGUUGUGUUGUCAAAUUUCGAGGUUGGGGGGCCUGUAGUUUUGUUGUUUUGUCCGCUGCCCUGAUACCAUCACUCUUUUAUAUAUAUAGAUAUAUAACAUAUAAGAGUGAUGGCAUCAGGGCAGGGGACAAAACAACAAAACUACAGGCCCCCCAACCUCGAAAUUUGACAACACAACCCAUCAUCCACGGCUCUAGGUUGAUACAACAAAAAGAAAAGAAAAAUAAAGUCCUAAUUAGAGGGAGAGGAAUAAUUGUUUUUAUCCAAUUGCUGCCAGUUUGA